rnacentral:rRNA from 1 species
UACGGAGGGUGCGAGCGUUAAUCGGAAUCACUGGGCUUAAAGCGUGUGUAGGUGGAUGCCUAAGUACCUUGUGAAAUCCCACAGCUUAACUGUGGAACUGCUUGGUAUACUGGGUGUCUUGAGUCACUCAGGGGCGAGCGGAACAAAUGGUGGAGCGGUGAAAUGCGUAGAUAUCAUUUGGAACGCCAAUGGUGAAAACAGCUCGCUGGGGGUGUACUGACACUGAGACACGAAAGCCAGGGGAGCGAACGGG